GCUAUUUCAGGUUGUUAAGGUACCUGAUAUGUAAGUAAUACAUCUUCCUCACACCAGUAUUACACACAUUGAACUGUAAAUUCUUCAUAGUGGUAGAGUUUUAGAGCUGGAAGGAGUUGUGGAAACUGUAGACAACUCAUUUGACAGAGUACCGGAGAGGACGGCUUGCUCAGAAUCGCACUGCUUGGUGAUGGCAGAGGCUGGGGGUGAGCAGAAGUGUCCUCCCUCACUCAGUGCUGUGCUCUGUCACACCACACAGACGCAACUCAAGAUGGAAAACCUGAAAGAAUCAUUUCUUGGCAGGACACGAACCAAGACUCAGAGAGGUGAAGAGACUGGAAGAACAAGGUAGCCCUGGGGACGAGAAAGAGGAGGAGAAAGAAAUGACCCAGGACAGGCUGUUCUGGGGACCACCCCCAUCCCGACUACAGGGGGAGGCUUUUGUACCCAAGAAAUUGUAUCCGUGACUGAGGAUACAAUUUAUAUCCCACCUCCACCCUUUAUAUGAAAGGAAUAAAGUAAACAUGUUUUUAGGCUGCAACAUGGGGGGAAAU
rnacentral:lncRNA from 1 species